CACGUAGGGUGCGAGCGUUGUCCGGAAUUAUUGGGCGUAAAGAGCUCGUAGGCGGUGUGUCGCGUCGGCCGUGAAAACCUGCAGCUUAACUGUGGGCGUGCGGUCGAUACGGGCAUCACUGGAGUUCGGCAGGGGAGACUGGAAUUCCUGGUGUAGCGGUGAAAUGCGCAGAUAUCAGGAGGAACACCGGUGGCGAAGGCGGGUCUCUGGGCCGAUACUGACGCUGAGGCACGAAAGCGUGGGGAGCAAACAGG
rnacentral:rRNA from 1 species